UACGUAGGGGGCAAGCGUUGUCCGGAAUCAUUGGGCGUAAAGAGCGUGUAGGCGGCUUGGCAAGUCCGCUGUGAAAACUCGAGGCUCAACCUCGAGACGUCGGUGGAAACUGCCUCGCUAGAGUCCGGAAGAGGAGAGUGGAAUUCCUGGUGUAGCGGUGAAAUGCGCAGAUAUCAGGAAGAACACCCGUGGCGAAGGCGGCUCUCUAGUACGGUACUGACGCUGAGACGCGAAAGCGUGGGGAGCGAACAGG
rnacentral:rRNA from 1 species